ensembl:snRNA U6 U6 spliceosomal RNA
GUAUUUUGGCAGAACAUAUACUAAAAUUGGAAUGAUACAGAAAAUAUUAUCAUGGCCCCUGUAUAAGGAUAACAGGCAAAUUCAUGAAGCACUGUAUGUUUAA